rnacentral:rRNA from 1 species
AGUGAACGCUGGCGGUAGGCCUAACACAUGCAAGUCGAACGGCAGCACACUAAGAGUUUGCUCUUCUGGGUGGCGAGUGGCGGAAGGGUCAGGAAUGCAUCCGAAUCUACUUUUUCGUGGGGGAUCACGUAGGGAAACUUAAGCUAAUACAGCAUCCGACCUACGGGUGUAAGCAGGGGAUAUUCGCACCUUGCGCGAUUGAAUGCGCCGAUGUCGGAUUAGCUGGUUGGCGGGGUACAGGCCAACCAAGGCGACGAUCCGUAGCUGGUCUGAGUGGAUGGUAGGCCACAUGGGAGGGUGGACACGGUCCAGAGUCCUGCGGGAGGGAGCAGUGGGGAAUAUUGGACAACGGGGGCAAACCUGAUCCAGCCAUACCGCGUGUGAGAAGAAGGCCUUCGGGUUGUAAAGCCCUUUUGUUGGGAAAGAAAAGCAGCAGGUUAAGACCCCGCGGUACUGACGGUACCCAAAGAAGAAGCACCGGCUAACUACGUG